rnacentral:rRNA from 1 species
AAAUUAGCGGAUGACCUGUGGCUGGGGGUGAAAGGCCAAUCAAACCGGGAGAUAGCUGGUUCUCCCCGAAAGCUAUUUAGGUAGCGCCUCGUGAAUUCAUCUUCGGGGGUAGAGCACUGUUUCGGCUAGGGGGCCAUCCCGGCUUACCAACCCGAUGCAAACUACGAAUACCGAAGAAUGUUAUCACGGGAGACACACGGCGGGUGCUAACGUCCGUCGUGAAGAGGGAAACAACCCAGACCGCCAGCUAAGGUCCCAAAGUCAUGGUUAAGUGGGAAACGAUGUGGGAAGGCACAGACAGCCAGGAUGUUGGCUUAGAAGCAGCCAUCAUUUAAAGAAAGCGUAAUAGCUCACUGGUCGAGUCGGCCUGCGCGGAAGAUGUAACGGGGCUAAACCAUGCACCGAAGCUGCGGCAGCGACACUAUGUGUUGUUGGGUAGGGGAGCGUUCUGUAAGCCGUUGAAGGUGUCCUGUGAGGGGUGCUGGAGGUAUCAGAAGUGCGAAUGCUGACAUAAGUAACGAUAAAGCGGGUGAAAAGCCCGCUCGCCGGAAGACCAAGGGUUCCUGUCCAACGUUAAUCGGGGCAGGGUGAGUCGACCCCUAAGGCGAGGCCGAAAGGCGUAGUCGAUGGGAAACAGGUUAAUAUUCCUGUACUUGGUGUUACUGCGAAGGGGGGACGGAGAAGGCUAUGUCAGCCGGGCGACGGUUGUCCCGGUUUAAGCAUGUAGGCGGAGGUUCCAGGUAAAUCCGGUACCUUAUUAACGCUGAGGUGUGAUGACGAGGCACUACGGUGCUGAAGUGAUAAAUGCCCUGCUUCCAGGAAAAGCCUCUAAGCAUCAGGUAACACGAAAUCGUACCCCAAACCGACACAGGUGGUCAGGUAGAGAAUACCAAGGCGCUUGAGAGAACUCGGGUGAAGGAACUAGGCAAAAUGGUGCCGUAACUUCGGGAGAAGGCACGCUGAUA